UACGUAGGGUGCGAGCGUUGUCCGGAUUUAUUGGGCGUAAAGAGCUCGUAGGCGGUUUGUCGCGUCGGCCGUGAAAUCUCCACGCUUAACGUGGAGCGUGCGGUCGAUACGGGCAGACUUGAGUUCGGUAGGGGAGACUGGAAUUCCUGGUGUAGCGGUGAAAUGCGCAGAUAUCAGGAGGAACACCGGUGGCGAAGGCGGGUCUCUGGGCCGAUACUGACGCUGAGGAGCUAAAGCGUGGGGAGCGAACAGG
rnacentral:rRNA from 1 species